rnacentral:rRNA from 1 species
CCUUGUACACACCGCCCGUCACACCAUGGGAGUUGGUUCUACCUGAAGACGGUGCGCUAACCGCAAGGAGGCAGCCGGCCACGGUAGGGUUAGCGACUGGGGUG